UACGUAGGUGGCAAGCGUUGUCCGGAUUUACUGGGCGUAAAGAGCGCGCAGGCGGUCUUGUAAGUCGAGUGUGAAAGCCCCUGGCUCAACCAGGGAGGGUCAUUUGAUACUGCUUGACUCGAAGGCAGGAGAGGGAAGUGGAAUUCCGGGUGUAGUGGUGAAAUGCGUAGAUAUCCGGAGGAACACCAGUGGCGAAGGCGACUUUCUGGCCUGUUCUUGACGCUGAGGCGCGAAAGCUAGGGGAGCAAACGGG
rnacentral:rRNA from 1 species